GGAAAAUUAAAUGCUUUUAUAUUGUUGAUUUGUCUUUGAAUAAAUUUCAAUGCUUUUGUUGCUUUUGGAAUUCUAGACAAAUUUUUACUCUUGCAUUUUGUUUUCAAUGAGAAUGAGUUCUGGAAACAUGUUGAGUUUGGUUCUUGAUUUCUAGUUAUUUUAGUUGAUGGGUUCUUUGGAUGGGGAGAGAGAGAGAGGAAGAAAAAUAUAUGUGUUUUGAGAGAGAGGGGUCUAUGUGUGUGUUGAGAGAAGAGAGAUAAAGGGUAGAGGUGGC
rnacentral:misc_RNA from 1 species